rnacentral:rRNA from 1 species
GUGCCAGCAGCCGCGGUAAGACGAACCGAGCGAACGUUGUUCGGAAUAACUGGGCUUAAAGGGCGCGUAGGCGGGCCGCCAAGUUCGAGGUGAAAUCCUCCGGCUCAACCGGAGAACUGCCUCGAAUACUGGAGGUCUCGAGGGUGGUAGGGGCACGCGGAACUGUGGGUGGAGCGGUGAAAUGCGUUGAUAUCCACAGGAACUCCGGUGGCGAAGGCGGCGUGCUGGACCACAUCUGACGCUGAGGCGCGAAAGCCAGGGGAGCAAACGGGAUUAGAUACCCCCGUAGUCC